CUCUUUUUGCCUGCUGCCAUUCCAGUAGGAUGUGACUUGCUUCUCCUGGCCAUGGUUGUGAGGCCUCCCCAGCUAUGUGGAACUGUAAGUCCGGUAAACCUCUUUCUUUUAUAAAUUGCCCAGUCUCGGGUAUAUCUUCAUUAGCAGCGUGAAAACGGACAAAUACAGCUUCAGUUUCCCCUCACUCCACUCCCCAUUAGGGGAUAGUUUUUGUCCAGAUUAAAGAAAAACCUAUUGUUUAUGGUGGUGCUAGGGGAAAUGAAGAGGAAAGUCUUGCCUCUCCAUUUUCUUCCGUUCAUGAGGUGAGUUCUCUGGGUCUGCCUCUGACUGGGGAAGAUAUACAUUGAACCCCAAAUUUCCAUCCUUGGAAGUCCAGAUAGGUCUGAGGAAAAAAACAAAAAACCUAAUAGCAAUGUUACUGCAUUUAUCUGCCUUCCAUUUGAGCCAAAGAAAACCUGAGGGUCAUAUGAAGUGAAGUCCUGUUAAUUGGAAGGCCAGGUGGGUCUGAGGAAAAAAGCAAAAACAAAACAAAACAAAAAAACACCUAAUGGGAAGAAAUGUUACUGUUUUUAUCUGCCUUUCAUCUGGGCCAAAGAAAACCUGAGGCUCCUUUGAAGUUAAGCCCUGCUCAUCAGGGAAGACACCAGGUGAAUUGGGUCUAAAAGUCUUAGCUAGGGAGAAGAGUGUUCAUUUAGUGGAUAAUUCUCUUGCCAUAACCUCUUAGAGCUCUUCACAAUUGACUGGGUGCUUGGAAUCCUUGCUCUAGCUUCAUUAAAGAGUAAACUCAUCAGCCUCAUGCCUGGCUCCAAGGUGGUGAAUCCAGGAGGAGGAGGCUUCUGGGGCAGGGAGGGUCACUGUCUUCUACCUAGCAGCUAAGGUAGGGCCUGGUACGUGGAAAGUGUGCAAUCAGUGAUUGAAGGAGUGUUAAACAAUGAGUGACUAAGUUAGAAAACAAAUGAGGAAGUGACUGGGGACACUGGAUAGAUACAAAUCAAAUUAAAGAUGUCACAGGACCAAAGCUUGUGCUUGGGAAAAUAAAGGCUAUGAGAAUUUUAGGGGGAGGAGGUCCCUGCAGGCUGAUGUUGCUGAAAGAGCAGGCCUCCUAGGACUUCCCAUCUGCUGUCCCUGUUCUUACACUCUAUCAGCCAUGGCCCAAGAUCAAAUCUGAGUUGUGGAAGGACAUGACAAGGGGGUUACACAGGUGGCGAAGAGAAGAUAGAGUCACAGAGUUUUGGUCAUGCUGGGCCUACUGCAUGGCCCUUUCCAAAGAAAUUGUACUCUUUCUUCAGACCAAGAGAUUUGCUAGAAAGCAGAAAAACAAGCCGUGUUAAAGUCUGCAAUACUGAGAGCUGAUGUGGAUAACAAUUAGCUAGGAAAGUAGACGGCAGUUAAGGAGAAAGUUAUCCAAACCAUAAAAAGUGCUUUUAAGCAUCAGUGUUAUUUCUUUUUUUUCUUUAAAAAAACAAAACUAAUAUCUUCAUCAUAAACACAUGCCCAUAUUUUUUUUCUAUAUGUUUUAGGGCUUCAUUACUUGUAUUUAUUUAAUAUUAAUUUUAGCUAACACUUAUUGAGGCUUUACUAUAUGUCAGGCUCUGUUCCAAGCUUUUACCAUCGGAUUCCACACAAUAGUCCUUUAGCGCAGAUAUUAGUAGUAUCCCUAGUUUAUGGAUGAGGGCAGCUGAGGCAAAUGAAGAGGGGAAGUACAUCACUUAAAGCUAUAAAGCACUUCAUAUUACAGCCAGGAUUAGACAGUCUAAUUCCAGAGCCCAUACUCUUAAUCACUGCAAUAAAUCAAGUUAAUUUAAUUUAUGCUUUAAUCCUUACCCCUCAAAAAGUAGAGCAGGGCAGAAUUUGUGAUAUUGAAAUUUUUACCCCCGAGUCCUGCGAGUAUCUACACUAGACUGAAAUGUCGUCAUUACCAUAGCCUACAUAUGCAUAGAUGUUUUUGUUUCUUUGCUUUUUAUUUUAUCUAAUACUACACUUCCUCAAUUAUUUUAACUUUGAAAUAUUUAAUGACAAAAAGAAUAAUGCCUGACAUUGCAAGAUACCAUUGGCUAAUUUUGUCUAUUUUUCCAAGUACACUUUAUAGCAGAUGUCAAAUUUCAGAAAAGGCCAAAUGAGAUUUUGAUUGGCUUUUUAUUAUAAAUUGGAACAUGUUGAGGAAUUUGCAAUAGGCAGUCUUUCCUUUUAAAAUAGGGAAUAUUUCUAUUUAAACUUUAUUUCUUUGUAAAAAAAAGUGUAGUUUCUUCAAAUAAGCUUUACGCAUUUGGGUUUAUUUACACGUGACAUUUUUUGAUUGUUAUUUUGAAUGACAGUUUUUUUCAUUAUAUUUUCUGGGUGAAUUAGACUGUGAUGAAACUGUGCUAUUACCAGUUGCUGUGUUAUUACUUCAGAUCUUUGUUAAUAGAUGCUCAUGCAAUCGAGUGUAUGCAUCUUUGAUAAAUAGUUGCAAAGCCUCUACUCUUCUAAUAAUUUGUAUGUAUGUAAGUUGUACAUAAGAUAGGUAAAAUAAGAAUAUAGAAAAAUUCACUACACAGAUAGCACUACCAAUACUAUGAUGUUUGUACUUUUAUAUAUUUUAAUACAACUAUGAUUGUACUGUGCAUAGUUUCAUAACCUACCUUUUUAACUUGGUAAUAUAUCAUGAAUUUUUCCAAGUUAUUACCCUUUGACACUCACAGUUCAAUAAAUAUUUCCUGCACAUAUUGUAUGUAAGAAAUGAUGUUUGGUGCUAGGAAUACAAUGGCGAACAAGAUUAGAUAUGUUUCCUACCCUAAGGAGUUUAAAAUAUAGUGGCAAUGACAUAUUUCAGUUAACUCUUAAAGAGAUCUCACGGAAAACUAGGCACUGUUCUAUAGCCUUUGCAUAUAUUCAUUUAUUUCUUACAGAAACCCUGUAAGGUAGGCUCUAUAAUUACACCUAUUUUUACAGGUAAGUAAACUAAGGCAUAAGAAGGUAAAGUGUCUAGUCCAAGAUUAGGUAGCAUGUGAAGGAAUGGUUGAGCUGGAGUUGGAAUUUGAACCGGUCUUUCUAGAGACCACAUUCUUCUCUCACUUCUAUUACACAAAUGAUUAUUGGUUUAUAAUUACAACAAAUUUCAUGCAGGAAAUUGCUAGUGCAUAUGGCAGGAGGAGGGAUGUAUUUUUAGAAUGAUAGAAUCUCUGUGGAGGAAGUAUUUAUACAGAGAUUUGAAAGGUGAAAGGAAGCCAGACAUUCAAAGAGCUAGGGGAAAAAUGUCUCAUGCAAAGGAGAAAGGAUAAAAGAGAAUCCUGAUUUUGACUGGAGCUCGAUACAUUCAUGGAAAAAUUUAAACAAGGCCAGUGGGUCUGGAGUACAGAGAAUGAGAGGGAGAGUGCUUCAAGGUGAUGUGGGAAAGACAGGUGAGUGCAAGGUCAGGAAGGCUUUGUCACCCAUGUAGAGACAUUGAUUCUCAACUUACACAGAGAAUGAAUGAGAGAGUGACAAGCGGAGAAGCAGAGCCAAUCUGAAGACCCCUGUAGUCAUUCAAGUGAGAGAUGGUACUGGCUUAGAAUAGGGUUCCUGACGUGUGUAUGACAAGAAGUGGACAAAUGAGAACAUAUUUUGGAGAUAGAAUUUACAAAGCUUUCUGAUGAGAUUAAAUGUGCAAGAUUAAAGAAAGGGAGAAAUUCACUCACAGGUGGGAGUUGAACAAUGAGAACACAUGGACACAGGGCGGGGAACAUCACACACCGGGCCUGUCGGGGGUUGGGGGCGCUGGGGGAGGGAUAGCAGUAGAAGAAAUACCUAAUGUAAAUGACCAGUUCAUGGGUGCAGCAAACCAACAUGGAACAUGUAUACCUAUGUAACAAACCUGCACGUUGUGCACAUGUACCCUAGAACUUAAAGUAUAAUAAUAAACAGGGAGAAAUUAAUAAGCAAAGAAGAAAAUAUCACACAAUGGUAAAUUCUGUGCAUAUAAUCAAAAUAUAGUGAUAGGAUAGUGAAUUAGUGAGAACGUGAUCUGAAUAAUUAAAAGGGACAAUCUUGUUAUAAAGUCUUAGGAAACAGCUACUGUGGCAGCUUUAAGGGUAAGUUGGGCGCUUGGUGUGUUCUAGAAGGAGAAGAGAAGCCAGUGUGGUCAAGCUUCUUAGACAAGAGGAAAAUUAUCAGCAAGAGGAAGUCAAGGAAACAGGCAGGAGUGCAACUAUGGGAGGCUUUAGAGCUAGUCAAGGAACUUGGAUUUUAUCCUGAGUAUAAUAAGAAGGUAACUUUUGCUACUCCCAUCAGGAUUUUAUUUGAUUUAUUUAAAUAAACUUUUAAGACUAUCGUAAGCCACAUUUAGCCCGAAUCUACUCGAAGGACACAGGAAACAAAGCAAAAAUCACCAGUAGGGCAGAAUCAGGCAUUCCUCUUUUGGUGGGAGUUCUUAUUGUAGCCCAGGCAUAGGUUAGUAUAGCCACCCAGAAGUCAUUUUCUCCCAGGUGUAAGGAGUCAAAAUCUGUAUCAGGCAAGUCAGAGAGAGGCUGCAGGUUAAGUCCUGGUGCCCCAUAGUAGCUAACAGGCUUUUCAGCCCUCCAUACACCUAUGUUCUAGACUCUGCAAGAAAUGCCUUAUUAUAAUUUCCCCAAACUCAGGGCUGCCCAAACUAUGGAAUCUCCAACAGGUAUUUAUGAUUCAUUAUAACUUCUUCCCAUUCAGACAAGUUUGCCAAUCAAGGGUCAUUUCUAUCACAGGCAAUGCUGCCUAGUGUCAACCUAAAAUAAUGGCAGAGAGACAAGCUUCCCAAAUAAAUUACUUUGUUCAGGAAUAAACAGGACUAUAACCUGGGAUAUGCAUGCUAUGACAGAUCAUAGGCAUAUUCAGGGAGGUGGAGGCAAGGGAAACUUUUAAAGGCAAAAAGGAGAAGUAUAUGAAGGUCGUUUUGAAACAAAAGUUCAUUGGUCAUAGGGGCUUCCCACAGUUGGUGACAUGUGCACUGACCAUAGUUAGGAGUGGGUCUUCAUAGAAGUGACAUGACUACAGGGUUGUGGUUUAGUAAAGCUACUUGCAAGGCCGCAAUUAGGACUAUUACUGGAAAGAUGUCCUCGUCGAAGCGGCUUAAUUGCAAGGUGUGGUUUUGGCAGAGUCUCUUAUGACAGUUCUUGUUAUCAGGCAAAUAUACAUGAGGACCCUCCUUUUAUGAAGGUCCCAAACUAAAUGGAUCUUCUGGCUCCAUUUAGUUUGAUUUUGACAUGAAUGACUCCAUUUUGGUACCGACAGUUUUCACACUAGCAAUAUAAUUGGUAUUUUACAGUUGUCUGUUUUUCAGGGAAACAGAGCCAGUAAGUUUAACUGAAAAUCAGAUUCUCAUGCAACAGAGGAGUUUUGUUAAUCCUUUUACUUAUAUACUUCAGAUCACAUAGGGCACUAUGGUCUGAGAUAGAUAUUAGUGAGCAUGGUGAUUUAGAACGGUUUCAAGUAGCUUUCAGUUGGGUUUACUACUGCAAGAGCAAAGAAGCAGGGCAAAAGUUAUGUGAAAUUAAAUACACAGAAGAGUAGGUGGGCGUAGAUCCCCAUUGCUUCCAUAAUUCUCACAAAGGUGCACAUAAUUUGGUCACUGUGUCCUUUGCAAAAUGGUCUAGCAGGUCAAAGGGCCGGGAUUGUGAGCUCACUGUCUCUUAUACCCCUAGGCUAGGCAGGGAUCACAUCAGCACUCUAGAGCCUAUUUGCCAAAAUAAAAGGCAAUUCUUUGCAGAGUAGAUUACAUAUUCCAUGUUCUCAUUACUGUAUUAUCAGGACCACGGGAGUCCUAGUCACAGAUGGGAAUUUAAUUAAGAUAGUGAAAUGAACUCAUUUCCCUUGGCUGUUAAGUUGGCAGUGGGUGGUGAGGGCAAGAGUGGAAGCUGACAAGCUAGUACUUGGAUCUGCAGAAGUCCAGGGAAGAGAUUGUUUAGACUUGUGUCAUAACAGUACUGAUAGGGUGAUAGAUUCAGGACAUAUUUUUAAGGCUUGGUAGAAAGGGCUUGCUGAUGGAAUUAACAUGGGACAGAAGGCUUUUUGACUUGUGCAGUUAAGAGGAUAGUGGCCUUUAAGAAGGAGAAUAACUGGAGGAAGACGCUUUUCAGAGGAAUAUAAAAAAUACUGUUUUGACCCUGCUAGUUGAGGUCCCUGUUAGACUUCAAGUGGAGAUGACAAGUUUAAGUUCUGGGCAUAUUCAGAGGAAUAUAAAAAAUACUGGAUUAUUUGUCUAACCCAGUGAUGUAGAGUUGCUGUUCCUAAGUAUCUGUGGGUGUUGCUGAAAGCCAUGAAUGGUAUCAUCCAGGUCUACUGUGCAGACAGAAACAAGAGUGGGGCCCAGAGCUGAUCCAAAUUUAUAAAUCCUGUUUUCAUAAAUUCACAGAGAUAGAAUUAUUCACAGAAAUAGGUCAAAGAGUAACCAAAGGCUUGAGCUUAACAAUUUAAAUGCUAUUUUGAAUGGCUGUACUAUCAUAUCUCCACAUUAAAACAGGAUAGGGAGGCACUGGGGCCAAUUUUUCAUAGACAUCAUUUAAGAAAACCUAGGUCAGAAGGUCAAGCAGUUGAACUUUGUGCCCUGUCAUCCCCUAAUUUCCCUGUCAACUUGAACUUCAUUCUAGAAGUUCAGUCCCUGCCUUUGCAGCCUUGUACUUUCUUGGAAAGUUUUAUGUUCAAAUGUGUCCCAUGUCGGAAUAAUAGCUCCCUGACCUGUGGGACAAUCUAUGAUUAAUGCAUCCCAGGAGAGUACAUGCCCUUCAUCUGGCCUCCAGCCCUUAUUGAAUGGGGGUAAGAUUGAAAAUUUAUAAAGAUAGGAUAAGGCCUGUGGCAAAACAGAAACUCAUUUAGAGGCUUAUUGGUCAGACUGGAAUUUAAAGAGGAGAUUUUUCAGGAGGUCAUCAUGUUUGUCUAUUAAAUCUGUUACCUGGGACCUGUCAGGAACACGAAAGUUCUAUUGAAUGCCUUUCCCAAGGACCCAGCAUGCAUGGUGUAUCUUAAGAAGUAAAGGGUGUAUCUUGGUUACAAUUAGUAAUGUCUGUAACUCUGAAGGGAAUGAGGGUUUUGGCAAGGCCUUGUAUUGUGACCUUGGUAUAUAAGGAGACAUACUGAAACUAAUAUCGUUUUGACUUACAUUUUGGGUAUAUUCGUGAGCAAGAGAUUCUAAUAUGUUGAUUUUUUUUUACCUUGAAGAAGACAAUUUGUAGGUAAUGGCCCAAUAAUUUAUAAUACAUAUGAAGACAGGACCAUUUGUUGGCCAGGGCAUCCAGUGUUAAGGUGACUGCCUUAAGAUUAAGAUUAAGUGUGAUGUUUCUUGGGUCCUGUCCUUUGUUAGGGACAUCCUGGCUAAUGGAUGGAAAGCAGCAACAUUCCACUAAGCUCUAUCACCUGUCAUGGUUAGCAGUGCCAUUGGCAUAGUCCAGGAACAUGGCAUUUGGCAAGGAACUGAGAACAGGGGAAGCUACCUCUUCUGCUGGUGGAAUAUCCUAUAGGGCUCAAGUUUGGUUCCAUACUGUCUUAGGGAGGCCUCACUAGCUGUGCCAAGGUUGUGAAGGUUAGUUUUUAAAACCCAAAACAUAAUGGGCAGGUGGGAGUGGAAGACCACAUGCUAAGAGUUUGUAAGAGCCCCUAUUUCCUGGAGAGUCCAGUAGGUAACCAGUCAUUAGUUGUUUCAUGCCAUUAAUAAACGUGUCAAAUGCAUUUCCUUGGAAGAGGAUACUAUGAAUGUGAUGUCAUACCUAUGCUCCUGGAGAAAGGUGUGUAUAGUUAAGAGCCUCUCUGCUAAGACUGUGUGUGAUGGCAAAGCUGCUGAGAAACUCCAUGGGUAGCUGGCAAAAGGUGUAUUGAGUUCUUUUGAAGGUGGAGGCAAACGUGGUGAGAGAUUGUUAAAAUAGGAGUUUAGCCACCUGUAGUUGUCUUUAUGUUCUGUCUUUGACUGACAAGAGAAAAAGGAAGGGACCCAGUGUCUCUAGGCAGCAACCUUAACCACAGGAUACUCAGUCCUUCUACCCCUCAACUUGUUUUUUAUUUUUAAUCUCUGUUUUCUUUGAAUGCUUACCCUCUCUAGAGUGUCCCAAUCAACCUUAGAGAGCCUGGGGGUCUACAUCACCAAUAGUGGACUCAAUUUUGUCUUUUAAAUUAUUUAUUGUUUGACAAUUUAUUUAUUUUGAGACGGAGUCUUGCUCUGUUGCCCAGGCUGGAGUGCAAUGGAGCGAUCUCAGCUCACUGCAACCUCUGCCUCCCAGGUGCAAGCGAUUCUCCUGCCUCAGCCUCUGGAGUAGCUGGGAUUACAGGCCUGCACUAAUUUUUGUAUUUUUAGUAGAGACGGGCUUUUACCAUGUUGGUCAGGCUUUAAGGAAGAGAUUAUUAACAUGUCAAUAUGUACCAGCACUUAAAAGUACUCAACGCAUUUACCAGGUGAAGUGUAAUUUACAAUGAGCUGAGAAACAUCUUCAAGUGUCUUAGGAGAAACAAGAUCAAAGAAUUCCUUCUCCUCUCUUUCCUUUCCUCUCUCUUUUUUUUUUUUUUUUUUUUUUUAAACAUUGAUUCACCAUCUUCUGUGGAUGGGAUCUGUGAUAGCCCAUGGGGUUGGAGACCAAUGAGCAAUGGCUACAAGGAUGCAGCAGAGAAGGUGCCACUGGUCCCAGCAGCAUUGACUCUAAUGAAGUGCUGUCUAGGACUAUCCUCGGGAGGAGGACCAUUUGACUCUUGGAGGGAGGAGAGUGAAUUAUCUUCUUCUCCCAAGUGCUAUUGAGAGCAGGCAGCAUCACGUACGUCUACUGCAGCCUACUGGCUCCCUCAGCUUUCCAGCUAGCAUUCAGCAAUAUAUACACCCAUGACCCUAUGAUGGGGGAAACUCCACUUCUAGUGUCAGGGGAUAUUCCUCAAAUUAUAAUCACUCAAAGGUGCACUGAAAAACAGCCAAGUCACAUGGCCAAUUCAAAAGAGGCUCCCCCUCUUGCUGGGAUCAAGUUGGAAUGCAGUAUCCUGGAGUGUGUUAUCGGGAUUGGGACAGGAUCUAGACUUUAGGAAGGGGAUUCUUGGCAGUAUUCAGAAGAGGUAAUACAAAGCCAUGCAAGGCAGUACACAAGAAUGUCAUCGGAGUAGAAAGGCCUCCAAAACAGUAGAGCCCUAUGUAGUUAGGCAAUUAAACCAUGAGCGGUGAAAGGGCAUCUCUGAGGGACAUUUCACUGGAGUUUGGAAUGAUCGCAUUUUUGUUGCCAAUUCAAAUCAUUACAACAAGGCAUGGAAAUCACACUCAGAAAUGCAUAAGAGAUAAAAAUUUAUAAUCACAGUUUCUAGAGGGAACCAGAGGCAUGCCAUGCAAGGGGCCCUAUGAGAAGAACUCCUAGGGAACAGGCUCCAUCAAGCAGGAGAGCCAAGAGAGAAUGUGAACCCAUGGGCAGGUACCUCCAUUGAGAGUCAACGUGGACUACACAAGCAAGAAGCAUGAGGGGAUUUUACUGGUACAUUUGAAUAUCACUAGGUCACAAUCAGGGAAGGCAAGAAGAGGAACUUGUGGCAGGAACCAGACUUAUCACACCGGUGUACCUGGUAACUUGGUGAGGGGUGGGUUGCUCAGAGUCUGUUCAUGGAGAGGUUAAGGUAUCAGGAACAUAUGAAGUUAAAAAAAAUUGCAAUAUGCCACCCUGCUACGCUGUAUUUUGCUUACAAAUUUUAUGGAGAAUAACUUUUCUAUCUCUUCACUUUCAGCCUAUGCGUGUCCUUAAAGCUAAAGUGAGUCUUUUGCAGGCGGUAUAUAGUUGGAUCUUGUUUUAUCCAUUCAGUCACUCUAUAUGUUUUGAUUGGAGAAUGUAAUCUAUUUAAUUUAAAGUGAUUAUUGAUAGGCAAGGACUUACUAUCAUUAUUUUGUUAAUUGUUUUCUGACUGUGUUGUAGCUCCUGGUUCUUCCUCUCUUCUUGUUUUCCUUUUUGAUUUGAUGAUUUCUUUUGUAGUGAUAUGCAUUGAUCUCUUUAUUUUUGUCUUCUGUGUAUCUACUACAGAUUUUUAGUUUGUAAUUACCAUAAAGCUUGCAUAAAACAUGAGUCUAUUUUAAGCUGAUAACCUAAGUUAAAUUGCAUACAAAAACUCUACAUUUACUUACUUCUCCUCACCUACACAUUUUGUGUUACUAAUGUCACAAUUUAUAACUUAAUACACUGUGUAUCCCUUAGCAAAUUAUCAUAUAGAUAUUUUUAAAAUUUGUUUUUUUAACUUUUAUACUAAGAUUAAAAGUGAGUUACACAUUACCAUUACACCAUUAUUCUGAUGUUGACUUUAUACUUACCUUUACCAGUGAGUUUCAUGCUUUCAUACAUUUUUAUGUUGCUAAUUAUAGUCCUGUCAUUUCAACUUGAAGAACUGUUUUCAGCAUUUCUUGUAUGGCUGGUCUAGUGGUGAUGAACUCGUUCAGUGCAUCCACUCUUGAAUAUUUUUCUCCACUGUAGUGCUAGAACCUCUCAUCUGGACUCCAGGGCUCCCACAAAGGUAUUCUUGUUUAUGGGUAGUUGGCAAAAUUGGUGUUUCUCUAGGGGGAUAGCAGCUGGAAACUUCUACUUCAUUAUGUUGCUAAUGUCCCUUCUGACAGAAGGUUUUUCUGGAUACCAUACUUUCUCCAGUGGUAUGUUUGGAGUUGUCCAUAUCACCUGCUGUUAAAAAUGUCCCUGAACCUUUGGUCAGCCCUGACAGACCUAUCUGUUCUCUGUUUCUCAAUCCAGUUACCAACCUGACCACAAGAUGUACCAAAGAUUUUUUGUAUUGAAAUAAUAAUAUUUAAUAAACAUCUGCUCUGUGCCAAGCAUUUUGGCCUAUACUUUAUAGGAAUAAACUCCUUAAUCUUCAAAAUAAAUCUUUGAGAAAAUAUCAUUUCAUACAUGAUGAAACACAGUCUUAAAAAGGGAAAAUGACUUGUUGAAGGUUAUGAAGUGAUGGCAGCGGGAUUUAAACCAGGCUUGUUUCACUCCAGAAAGUCCAGAAUCCUUUUUUAUAUUCCUUAAAUAGUUUAUUGGCAAGUUGAUUAUUGUUACUUUAUUUUAUAACUCUAAAAGGAAUAUAUACACGACGUAAAAUAUUCAGAAGAUGUCAGCUCCUCCAGAAAGAUAAAGUAUGGUUCCUGUGCUGAAUGAAGAACUCAGUGGGUAAUGUGGACGGAGCUCCUGCCUUAAGAGAGACAAGUAUGUAAGUGGACUGGGAAAGGCCGUCAUGUGAUGCUUGGGAAGGAGACAUUCAGGUACUGACAAUAAAGUCCACAGAGGAAGAGACAAAGAAAUGGUUCACCUCAAAGUCUAUGAGGGGGAAAAUAAUGCCUGGAACCAUGAGACAUGCAAACGUGGUUCUGAAUAAUUGUUACCUGGAAUAAUGUUAUUUCUUGCCACACAUUAAUGCAUUUGCUAAAACAAAGCCAGAAACUUUAAUUUGGAUAUCUGAUUCCACUGGGGAUGACCCAAUGGGAAUUUUCAGAUGAAUUGGUUUUGCUAGCAAUACUUGUAUGGUAGAAGUUAUGCUGAGUCUGGCUGGCUGACAGCCAGCUAUGAGGCUCAGUCUGUGAAGUAUCCGCUGGCUGGGAAGUUCUUUCAAACUCAGAAAUUACAAAGUAUCAAGUCUUAAUAUUGGUUGUAUCCUAGAUAUACUGGUUAAAACAAAUUACAAUGUAAAAAUAUAUAUGAAUAUAUGAUAAACAAGGUAAUUGCAGAGGGAUCUAAAUGUUCAUGUCACUUAUGUCUAACAUCAUCUUCUGGAGGUGUCAUUCUAGGCAGCCAAAUCCUAAUUUUUUAGUCAUUGAAAAUUCUAGAAUCAGAAAAGUUAAGUAUAUGGUAGCAAUUAAUGGUUUAAACCUAAGAUAGUCUGAUGCAUCCACCACCAUAAAAAUAAUUGCUGCAGAGAUAUGACUUUACCCUAGGGCUCCUCUGGCCUGGAGUGGUCAACACAGUUCUUUGGAGACUUACUAUUUUCUGCUUUUACAGUUGAAAUAUAUUUUCUCCUAAGUGACAAGUUUCCUUGUCAGGUAUAUUAAUACCUUAAAUCUAAUAGUUGUUAAGUUUAACCGACCUAGACUCAAACUGUUACCUUCUUAUGAUUUCUCAUGUCUCAGCUCUGAUUCUCGGAGUUGAGAUAAUUCUUUAUUUAUCUGAGAGAAACUUUAUAAGUUCUUGGGGAAAAUAAUGUCUUUUUAGAAUGGUAUAGAUAGAUUUCUCAAACUUGAGAGGGGAACAUGAUGAUGACUUUUUAGAAAAAGGCAGAUCGAUUUCUCAACCUUGAUAUGGGGAACAUGAUGAUGUCUCUUUAGAAUCAGGUAGAUCGAUUUCUCAAGCUUGAGGUCUCAGAAGUGCAAGCUGCCUUCAGACCCCAGUGAGAUGGGGUGGACUAAUUAUACAUAUCUUCAUUCUGUUCCUAUAUGAACAAGGACUCGAGGCCUUGGCUGGGCCAUGGCCAGUGUACAGCAAUUUAGUGGAAGAUAGGUGACUGAAAUCAAUAUUUCCUAAGCUAGCUCUUAGGAUCAAUGUCUUUUCCAUUCAGCCAUAUUCCUUUAUCAAACUCAAACGGUAGGAUUUUUCAACGGUGGAUCAGACUGAUGUUAAACAUGUUUCCAGAUAAAGACAUUAAUUUUGUUUCUGUUGCUGUUUAAAGCAAAUAACAAAGAGAGUCUGGCUGGGUGUGGUGGCUCAUGCCUGUAAUCUCAGCACUUUGGGAGGCUGAGGUGGGUGGAUCACUUGAGGUCAGGAGUUCGAGAUCAGCCUGGUCAACAUGGUGAAACUCUGUCUCUACCAAAAAUACAAAAAUUAGCCAUGUAGUGGGAUGCACCUGUAAUCCCAGUUACUCAGGAAGCUGAGGCAGGAGAAUGGCUUGAACCUGGGAGGCAGAGGUUGCAGUAAGUCGAGAUUGUGCCACUGUACUCCCGCCUGAUUAACAAAGAUGUAGGAACCAGAGCUCUUGGAUUCCAGAGUUGGUAAUCUUGGCUCUAUGCUGCUCUGUAGUCAGAAUCAAUCAAUUCCCUUGGAACAGGUGAACAGAAAGUGUGUCUUGUCUUGCCUUUACACAGAGAAAGGGACCAAUUAAGUUCCAACUCUUUGGGAAUUUAGAGUCUCAGAGAGAAAAAUUAAGAGAAUAAUCUAAAUCACAAUGAAGAAAUUAUCUAUUAAUAUAUUUAUAAUAAGAGCAAAUUGAGUGUCUCUCUGCUGCUGAGAACCAUUGUUAGCACAUCACAAUAAAGUCAAAUAACAUGGAGUGAGAUGGAAGAAAGAGAAAACAGGGUGAGUUUCUUCAGAGCUCAGAGGGAAGAAUUUAUUUUUUGUUUUUUUGAAUUCUACAUAUACAAGAAAAUGUGUGUGAGUGAGUGUGUGUGUGUGUUUAUUUUGUGAGAGAGACAGACUUGGUGGGGUGAGGUGAAUUCUGGUUCUGGAGAUGUGCUAUGGAAUUGGGGAGAACUUGGCAGGGUAGUUCUUCAGGGCCUUACCAGUGCUGAAUUACUUAAAAUUGAAUUAAGAGAGUCUCCCUCAGCACAAAUUGAAACAGCUAGACUUGGGGAUAAAGGAACAAAUUUACCUAAUAGGUCAAGAUUCUGAGGUUAAGUCUUCUUUGCAAUUUGGCAGUUGCACUGAUUUAUGUGCCAAACUGUGAACUCAUUUCUCAAAGUGGUCCAGGAGAAGGACUGUUUAAGGCUCUAGCAGGAUCAGGUUCAUGCAGCAGUCUAAAUGAUUUGCACAUGCUCUAGGGCUGGUGACAUCUAUCUAUACUCAAAAGCUGAAUUUCUUUUUAGUGCAUAGGUAAAACCAUAUUUCAUGCCUUUUUAGGGAAAGAUGAUGCUGUACACUGGGAUUGGUAAUCAGGGAAGUUUCACUUUGGGAAAUUCUGCCUUUCUGUGUUAGUCAUUUGCAUUGCUUUACUUCAAACUUCAGUAACAAUUGAUUGAGAUUGAUCCAUCACUAUUUCAGUGGAGCCUGACUUAUUUGUAAGGGCUGCCCGUGUCUUCUUAUCUGGGCCUGGCUUUUGAGGCCCCCUCGAAAUGUAAUCACCCCCAGCUUCCUCAAGCUCUUUCAGUAAUCCUCUUUGCUGUCUCCUUCCUGCACCAUUGCCUGGUACCUCCUCCUCUUCCAAUCUGUUCCACCCCUCUGAUCAUUCUCCUCUGAGCUUCUCUGGGCCAAGACAUGACUGUCCCUGACCUGUGACAGCUCCUUGUGCAUGAAUUUACCUCCACAACUGAACUAGGAGCUCUCCAUGGCCACAGCUGACACUUACCCUGUUGUCUUACCCAUGAACUUGUGAUACUUUUUCUUGUAAUUGCUUUUCUAGGUAAAAAUACUCUUCGUCAUGAUUCUUGUGGAUGUGACUGUAUCUGAACAGCCUCAGUGUAAUAUGAAUAAACAAGAAUCAAAUUACUGAGUACCUACUGUGUGCCAGACACUGUGUAGACAUAUAUUUUCAUUACCCUACACAUUAGCAUAAUGAAGACAGUAUUUAUUCAUUAAAUCAACUAAGACUAUGAUACAUACCAGUAUAAUCUCUAACACUUUUCCCAUAAUAUUUUGAGUGCUUAUUAAUUAUGUGCAAGGCACAGAUGAAAUGCCUAGUCUGAUGAAGUAUUAAAAUGGUUAUCAAUUCAAAAGCAAAUAAAUGAACACUGCAGAUUAAGCCAUGCAGCUAUAAAAUCUAGCAUACCUUUAUAAAUUUAAAAAUUAUUAGCUGAAUACUACCAACUGCCAGCAGUCAGAAUUGAAUGCUUGCUUUGUUCCUGAGAUUAUAAUAAACACUUCACUAAUGCUGAGGGCAGUAAAGUGGGAUGCCCUAAUUCUUGCAGCUAGUAGAUAAGGAAGUCCAUGGUCAUCUGCACACAGAUCUCAUAAUCUUCCCAUAAUAAAAUACUGGACAGUGUAUGAGAUAUUGUCAAUAAAUGCCAUAACCUUAGGCUAUUAGUCUCCCUGAAUGACAGGCUUUUAAUUUAUAAUGCAAAUAACAACAAUCAUCUCUUUGAACAGUUGGAAGGAGAUGGCUGGACUUAUUUAUUUCAGAACUGAGAUUACUAAAGCAUUAUUAUUAAAAAAGGAACUUGGAUUUGGGGCUGGCUCCCCUGAAUUCUUAAUAAGGGAUAACCUUAUAACUAAAAGGAAAGAGACCUCAAAAUGGAUGAGUGUGGGAGGAGUGAAAGAAUAUACAGUUGUAUUAAGUACCAGUCAUAUCUCUAGCACUUUAAAAAUAUUAUAGAAUUGUUAUCACAAUAACCCUGUGAUGUGAGGUAAUGUAAAAAAAGUUUUAUAUAAGUGUCUUUACUAGUAACGUUUAGAGAGGUUACAUAACUUCCUCAUUUUAUAUUCAUUUAUUGAGUACAUGUUAGUCACUGUCUUAAUUUUUCUAACUUAUUUAUUUCUCACUACAACAUUCAAAGUUAGAUGUUAUUUUUAUCCCCAUUUAACAGUUGGCCAAACUGAGGCACAGAAACAUUUCAAACAUGCUCAAGGUCACAAGUAGAGGAGCCAGGAUUCAAACGCAGGCACUCUGACUUUAUACUUUGUGCUUUUAACCAAUACGUCAAUAUUCAAAGUGGUGGAAUUCAGACUCAAAUUCAUUCCAAACCUUUUCUUUGUUUUUCACUUGGAGUCACAGGAGAAUAUUCCUACUCUUAAAUCCAGAUGCCUCUGAAGACCAGGAAUUGACUUUCUCCUUAGUAAGUCACAGACACUUUUAAGACAAGUGUGAGAAUAUUAUCACCUUUCUGGGGUAUUCAGAGUUCCCCAAGGAGCCUCAGGAAAAUAGUAUGUUCAGUGUGAUAAUUGAUAGCUCUGAUUCAUCUGGCUAUUCCUCUUCCUUCCAGAGCUUCCUGCCAUGUCAUACCAUUCCUUUCACAUCAUCACUGUGUGUCCAUGUAAAUGUAUCUAGACAGCCAUCCUACACUUUUUUUUAAAUCUCCAACUUCUGCUCAGCAUUCAUAUUGAAGUCUUCCCCAGGUGAAGCAGUUUUAGAAGUCGACUCCGAAUCUCCUUGGUUCUAGCUCCAUAGAGAAUAGGAUUGAGUACAGGAGGCACCAGCACAUAGAGAUUAGCCAGAAAGAUGUGCACAUGCUUGGGGACUUCGUGGUGACCAAAGCGGUGGGUGAGGAAGGAGAAGAAGGCAGGGAUGUAGAAAACCAGGAUGAUGCCAAUGUGGGAGCCACAGGUACUCAGAGCUUUGUGCUGGGCAUCAUGAGAUGGAAGAUGAAAGACUGCAUGGAGGAUAAAGCCAUAGGAAAUGGCAAUGAGAAUGGAAUCCAGUCCCAUGGCCAGCAGAGCCACAGUUAGCCCAUAGACAAUAUUGACAGUGAUGUUGGCACAGGCCAGUCGGGCAAUGCCCAUAUGCUCACAGUAUGUGUGUGUCAUGACACGGUGACCACAGUAGGGGAGUCGCCUCAGCAAGAAGAUGAAGGGGGAGACAAUAGCCACACUACGGAAUAGCCCAACAAAGCCAAUUCUGCCUAUGACAGCAUGGUUGAGAAUGGUUGUGUACCUUAAUGGGUUACAGAUAGCCACAUACCUAUCAAAGGCCAUGGCAAGUAGAAUUGAGGACUCCAGAGCAUAGAUAGAAUGGACACAAAACAUCUGGGCCAGGCAUCCACCAAAGGAAAUCUCACCAGCAUGGAGCCACAAAAUGGCCAGCAUCUUGGGCACAGUGGUAGAACUGAGAGCCAGGUCUGUGAGUGAGAGAAGGCAGAGGAAGAGGUACAUAGGUGCAUGAAGAGCAUUGUCCAUGGCAAUGACCAGGAUGAGGGCAGCAUUUCCAACCAGUGCUACAAGAUACAUGGCACAGAAAGGGAUGGCAAUCCAGAAGUGGGCAGCCUCCAGCCCUGGGAUCCCUGUUAAGAAGAAGGUGUCUGGAAGAUGGUUAUCACUGAGGUUGGAAUCUGACAUUCUUCCUGGCAAAUGAAGGGCUCUUUCUGAAUAGUAUUGUUAUGCUUGCCCUGUAACAUCAGAUAUUUGGUUGAUUUAUGUAAAACAAAGAUCUUUCUGUGAAAUAAUCUUUUUUAGACUAAAAAAAUUUGUUUUUCACUUGUACAAACAUCUGAAAUGACUACCACAUAUAAUUCAUUUUAAAACCUUCUGCUAAUUUCUAUAUUGAACAAUGAUGUUUUGAGUUCUAUAUCCAAAGCACCAAGCUAAGUAUUUAUUAGUCUUCUCAAACUGACCUUUCCAGACUUAUCUCCCUCCAUAUCCUGCACAUCAUUUAUUGACCUCUAGUCCAUCCACAUCAUGGGAUAUUUCUUACCUCUCAUUCAUGCCUUUUCUCUUACCUAGGGAGUCUCAUUCCUUUAUUUUCCUCCUCUCUAUUAAGUUUUAAUACAAGUUUCCCUGCUUCCCAGAGGCCUUCCCUUUCUAAACUGGUCUUGGUAAAUCAGAUAUGCUUGUUGAGGAUACUGCACUCAACCAUGACAAAGCCAGCGUAUAGUCCUCCAAUCCACCACUAUAAUGGCUGGCUGUGAGGUCAGAUCAGAAUGGCAAGUGCUAUUAGAGACAGAUAUAAAAAGUGAGGUAUUCUGGAUUUACCACCCAUAAAGGGACUGGAAGGGGAUUCUGUUCUUGCUGUAGAGGGAUAGCUAGUAUUAUACACAUUGUCUCAGUAACAUGUAUCCCUAAAAGAAUUCUGAGUAGAAAUGCCAGGAAAUCUGAAUUUUAGCCCCGAUUCUGUAACAUUAUUGAUUUGUGACUUUGAACAAAUCUCUUACUUAUCUGGACAGUCUCAAUUUAGAAAGGGCAAUGAAUGUAGUCAUUCUCUGAUUUUCUGUCUGCUCACUAUGUGGCAUUGAAAAAAAUUCCAAAGCCUUUUUGUGGCUUAGUUUUUAUCUUUAAAUUGGGAAUGACACCAUCUGACCUAACUUCACAAAAUUUUGUGGUUGACAAAAGAUGACUAUUCAUGGAAUUAAACAUUUGUAUACCCAGAAUAAUUCCCCUAUUUUUUCCUAAAAAAAUAAGAUAUUUAUAUUUUAACAACAUAUACUCUCGAUAAAAGAGAGUACAGUUAUCAUUUACAUCCCUAACCAAUGAAAAGACCAAUCCCAGAGAAGUGAACUGAUAUAAUUUAGAUCACGAGGCAUUUUAUUUGCAGAACUAUGAUUAGGUCUCAUGUCCCUUGAUUCAGAGUUUGGCGUUUUUGCCUCACCCUACUGUCCAUUAAUAAGUCCAAUACUUGAAUUCCUAUCUCUUUCAAAUGAGGCUAAUAUCUUUUUUGUCUAAUAUCAAUUCCUAGUGCUGAAGUAUCUUUACUCAUUAUCUUAGCUCCAAAGAGGUGGAAUUAGGAAGUCCCCUUUAUUUGCAUUGAGAUUUUUUUUUUUGUAAGAACAGGAGGCAUCUUAUUGAUUCCUACCAUAACAGAGCACCUAGGACUGUAAUACAAAGAAACACGAUUUUACUGCAGUAAAGAUAACUGAUGACCGAUGGUGUUUAGGAAGUUAUGAGACAAAAGAUACAGAGCAAACAAAAAGUCAUGGGCAUCAGCCAGUGCAGGGCUGUGCUAGAGGUUCCUAUCUAGCCCAGACACUUAGCUCAUCUGCCUUCCUACCCUCUGCUUUGGUUUAAAAUGCAGAGGAGAGACUGGAAACAAUGAUGAAUGCAGGGGCGGGGAUGCCCAUUGUGUGCUCUGUAGAUGUCUUAGGCAAACUUAGAAGCUAAAGAGCUGCUUGUGGCUGCUCAAUCUCAGAAGUGAGUCAAGAAGUUUCCAGAGAAGCUCUCCCAAAGCAGAGUCUUACAUUUUCGUGUCACAUGCCCCCACAUUUCUUCCCUCUCCUCCUCCUCAGGUCUCCAGUAACCCAACAGUAUUUAGCGGCACAUACCAUGGACCAGUCACUGUGUGGAACUGGGGUAACAGCAAUGAACAAUCAGACAAAAAUCCCUGCCGUGAAAGAGCUUAGAUUUUAGCAAAGGCAGAUAAAUAGCAAACAAAAUGCAGAAGUAAAAUAUAUGUUAGAUAAUGAUAAGGACUUUGAAAAAAUAAAACAGAAAGAAAAAGAGGUAGUGGGAGUGGGGUAAAUUCUAAUUAGGGCAUUGUAUUAGUUUGCUAGGGCUGUCACCACAAAGCACCACAGACUGAGAGGUUUAAUAACAGAAACAUAUUCUCUCACAGUUGUGGAGGCUGGAAGUCUGAUAUCGCGAUGUUGGCAGGUUUGGUUCUUUGUGAGUCCUUUCUCCUUGCCUUGUAGAUGACCCCCCUUUGUGUCUUCAGUUGGUCUUCCCUCUCUGCCUGUGCCCUCAUCUCCCCUUGUUAAAAGGUCAACAGCCAUAUCGGAUUAGGGCACAUCCUAGUGACCACAUUUUUUAAAAAAACUAUCACAUCUUUAAAGAUCUUAUCAUUAAAUACAGUCACAUUCUGAGAUGCUGAGGGUUAAUUAAGACCUUGACAUAUGAAUUUGGGGGUGUGGAGACCAACACAAUUCAGCCUGUAACAGACAUCCAGGGAAAUCUUUGCUGGGAAGGUAGUAUUUGAGCAAAGCCUUGAGUCAAAAGAGCUAGCCAUGCAGAUCUCAGAAGGAAGAACAUUUCAGACAGGGGGACAGCAAGUGCAAAGGCUUUGAGACAUAGGCCUGCCUGAUGGGUUUGGAAGCAGCAAAGAGGCUUUUGUGCUGGAGGACUAGAAGUGGGGGUGCAAGGAGCAUAGGCAAGAUAGGCUAGAUCCUUAGGCCACAGAAGGGACUUUGACUUUCACUCUGAGUUGGAGGGGGAUCCUUAAGGGAGAAAUCACAUUGCUGGUGAUCUGCAAGUUCAGGCUCAAAUUCAUUGCUCAGCCCAAGCAGAGUCCAUCAGGUGCUUAUGCUGACGGCACCAGGGAUGCAAGGCUGAAUAGCUGGAGAAACAAUUAACACAUUUUUUGUGGGAAAGAUACAUCUAUUUCUAGAGCUCUCACUAUUAUAACUUCUGAACGUUGCCUCAAUUCUUGAUAUUAUUACUGUUAACCUUCUUUUUGAUGCACUUAGAAAACGUGAGAGGAAGGUUAUUUUUAUGUCAUAUGUGCUUUGGUAAAAUUUUGCAGGAUUUGUGUACUGUGUAUUCUUUUAUCCUUUUUCUUUUGCUGGGCUAAGAGUGAAGGGGAGAACAGCAGAGAUCUACCUUCCAUCACCUUUGGUGGAGGGGUGCUAUGAUGGGAAAUCUGCUUCUGACUUAUUCUUUUGAAAUCAUAGUUAGGGUACCAUAUUCUUUGCAGGUUAUGUAGAUGAUGUACUUUUCAUUGCCAGAGAAAGAGUAGCCAAUCUGUAUAAUGCCAGUUUGUCAAAUCUGAAAGUGCUAAAAUCAACCAAAACCUAUAAAGCUAUGAAGAAUAUUGAUACUGUAUAACAUGUAUUGGAGCAUAAAAACUUUUUUAAAAGGCAGGUUUAUUCUCACAUUGCCCAUAAUAAUAUUUUGAAAUAAUACAUAUGUAAUGUUUGUUUAUUUAGCCAGAGGCAAGUUGGUACUGUGGUAAUACCGUCGGGUUUGUUGUUCAAAGACAAGGGCCAAGGCCCAGGUUUGCUACUUCCUGGCUUUGUGUCCUUGGGCAGGUCAUUUAACCUCUCCCAUUGGUAAACCGAAGAAGACAAGUCCUCCUCUACUUCUGACAGAAGUAUUGGGAAGAUCAAGUGAACACAUGUCUUUGUGGAGUACUAUAUAAAAUUAGAUAUUAUCAUAAUGCAUUGCACUGAUAUUUUUUAGUGAUGACACUAGAUGGUUUUGGGCUCAGCAUUGGCACUGACCUGUGUUAAUAGGGGAAACAAGCUUGGACGACAGAGUCUAGAGAGCUGGAAUCACUACCAUCUUCUUUUCUCCUUUCUUUCUGGCCUAUUCUUGCCCUCUAAGAAAGCUUUAAAAUAACUGUUGUAAGGUAACUGCUACUCUGUGAUUAUCUAAGGAUGUGUGGACCAGAAAGAUUGAGGCAGGAGCAGGUCCCAUUUAUUUCCCUUUAGAAAACAGUGGGAAAACGAUAUUGAACUUGAGUAUCAUUUAGGUUCACAAUACAGGCACCCUUCCUAACUUGUUGCAGGAUCCUGUGUCUGGGUCCCCAUCUUACACCUAGAUGUCAGUAACUUAGCUGUGAGUUCAUUGACUGAACAUAUUGCUGAGGAAUCUGAUUUCAAGAACUUACCUGCACAAGAGACAUGAGUUUGCAGGUGGAGCAUGCAGAAGUUGGACCUCGGUGUAAAGGUGUGUGUAUGAGGGUGAAACUGUGUGGGAGAAAGAGUGUGGUGGUGCAGUGGCUUUGGCAGGAGGUGUGUGUCUGGAUGCAAAGUUUUGUUUAGGGAAGUGAAGGCUGUGUUUCUCUGCAGGUUCAAGGGAGUAUGGUAUGAGAGAGUGGAGGGUCUGAAUGUGUAAUUCGUGUUGAAAUGUCUUGUCCUUUCUCAGUUUUCUGGGCUAAUGUCUUCAGUUCAGCUCUGUAUUUCUGCCUCCUCUAGUCAAGGGGAUUGGUAAACGGGGUUAUUUAUUGACUUUCUGUGAUGUGCAGGUGGGAAAACCCAGGUGGCAUCCCCUAAGGAUUUGAUCUGUGGUCCAUCUAUUGAGGGAAAGAUAAGAAGCAGUUGAUAAUUGAGAAAAAAAUGAGCAAGGGAAAUUUUCCAGUGAGUUUUCAAGGGAAUUUGAAAUUAAACAGCUAGCCUGUCUUUUCCUCUAUUCUGAUCUCUUUUUCACUUCUUUCCUUGUCUUCCUUUUCUCUUCUUUUUUUUUUUAGCUGUACUUUCUACUCUUUCUUUUCUUUUCUUUUCUUUUUUUUUUAAUUAUACUUUAAGUUUUAGGGUACAUGUGCACGUUGUGCAGGUUAGUUACACAUGUAUACAUGUGCCAUGCUGGUGCGCUGCACCCACUAACUCGUCAUCUAGCGUUAGGUAUAUCUCCCAAUGCUAUCCCUCCCCCCUCCCCCCACCCCAUCACAGUCCCCAGAGUGUGAUAUUCCCCUUCCUGUGUCCAUGUGAUCUCAUUGUUCAGUUCCCACCUAUGAGUGAGAAUAUGCGGUGUUUGGUUUUUUGUUCUUGCAAUAGUUUACUGAGAAUGAUGAUUUCCAAUUUCAUCCAUGUCUCUACAAAGGACAUGAACUCAUCAUUUUUUAUGGCUGCAUAGUAUUCCAUGGUGUAUAUGUGCCACAUUUUCUUAAUCCAGUCUAUCAUUGAUGGACAUUUGGGUUGGUUCCAAGUCUUUGCUAUUGUGCAUAAUGCCGCAAUAAACAUACGUGUGCAUGUGUCUUUAUAGCAGCAUGAUUUAUAGUCCUUUGGG
rnacentral:lncRNA from 1 species